rnacentral:rRNA from 1 species
AUUGAACGCUGGCGGCAGGCCUAACACAUGCAAGUCGAACGAGUGGCGGACGGGUGAGUAAUGUCUGUGAAACUGCCUGAUGGAGGGGGAUAACUACUGGUAACGGUAGCUAAUACCGCAUACCAUCGGAUGUGCCCAGAUGGGAUUAGCUAGUAGUUGGGGUAACGGCUCACCUAGGCGACGAUCCCUCGCUGGUCUGAGAGGAUGACCAGCCACACUGGAAAUGAGACACGGUCCAGACUCCUACGGGAGGCAGAAGUGGGGAAUAGUGCACAAUGGGCGAAAGCCUGAUGCAGCCAUGCCGCGUGUAUGAAGAAGGCCUUCGGGUUGUAAAGUACUGUCAGCGGGGAGGCGUUACCCGCAGAAGAAGCACCGGCUAACUCCGUGCCAGCAGCCGCGGUAAUAC